rnacentral:rRNA from 1 species
AUACGUAGGGUGCAAGCGUUAAUCGGAAUUACUGGGCGUAAAGCGUGCGCAGGCGGUUUUGUAAGACAGUGGUGAAAUCCCCGGGCUCAACCUGGGAACUGCCAUUGUGACUGCAAGGCUGGAGUGCGGCAGAGGGGGAUGGAAUUCCGCGUGUAGCAGUGAAAUGCGUAGAUAUGCGGAGGAACACCGAUGGCGAAGGCAAUCCCCUGGGCCUGCACUGACGCUCAUGCACGAAAGCGUGGGGAGCAAACAGGAUUAGAUACCCUGGUAGUCCACGCCCUAAACGAUGUCAACUGGUUGUUGGGGAUUUAUUUUCUCAGUAACGAAGCUAACGCGUGAAGUUGACCGCCUGGGGAGUACGGCCGCAAGGUUAAAACUCAAAUGAAUUGGCGGG